GAUGAACGCUGGCGGCGUGCCUAAUACAUGCAAGUCGAGCGAACGGACGAGAAGCUUGCUUCUCUGAUGUUAGCGGCGGACGGGUGAGUAACACGUGGAUAACCUACCUAUAAGACUGGGAUAACUUCGGGAAACCGGAGCUAAUACCGUAUGAUAUUUUGAACCGCAUGGUUCAAAAGUGAAAUACGGUCUUGCUGUCACUUAUAGAUGGAUCCGCGCUGCAUUAGCUAGUUGGUAAGGUAACGGCUUACCAAGGCAACGAUGCAUAGCCGAACUGAGAGGGUGAUCGGCCACACUGGAACUGAGACACGGACCAGACUACUACGGGAGGCAGCAGUAGGGAAUGUUACGCAGUGGGCGAAAGUCUGACGGAGCAACGCCGAGUGAGUGAUGAAGGUCUUCGGAUCGUAAAACUCUGUUAUUAGGGAAGAACAUAUGUGUAAGUAAAUGUGCACAUCUUGACGGUACCUAAUAAGAAAGCCACGGCUAACUACGUG
rnacentral:rRNA from 1 species